rnacentral:lncRNA from 1 species
CCCGAAACCAAAGCUAAGUGUCCCGCUCAUCCGGCACGACCGUUCCUAACGCCGAAAACGAACUCCUAGUGCCCUUUAUCAGACAAGCGGGGAAGCCCCUGCCCUGGGUCGAGCUAGUGUCGAGCUAUGCGGUCUGCUGAGUCUUGGGGGGCCCUAUAGGCUACUUCCAUUUUAGGUGGUGGCUGCUGAGGCAUCCCAUACACAGUCUCGUAUUAAGCUUCGGGGUGAGCUGUAUUGUUGUUCAAAGUGUGUGUUUUCAUCUUAGGGUCCCCAACAAGCAGUGCUGUGCAUGGCCCGUUCUGGCCUGGACCUGGAAUUGGCCCGACCUUUGGGGGUUUUCCCGUGGGGUCUGGGACCCGCUUUAGUACCUAAUACUACUGACGGUCGCUAGGGGACUAUCACAUCCCAAACACACUGUCGGGGAAAACGUCCGUCGGGGCAGACACAUGCGCAUGUGCAAGUGUCCAUUUCUUUCAAGCCCGGUCGGCACAGCAGCAGGCACCCUUUUACAUAUCUGCUGGAAUCCCAGAUUAUUAUCGUAUAAGACCACAAUU